rnacentral:rRNA from 1 species
UACGUAGGGUGCAAGCGUUAAUCGGAAUUACUGGGCGUAAAGCGUGCGCAGGCGGUUUUGUAAGUUUGUCGUGAAAGCCCCGGGCUCAACCUGGGAAUGGCGAUGAAGACUGCAAGGCUAGAAUCUGGCAGAGGGGGGUAGAAUUCCACGUGUAGCAGUGAAAUGCGUAGAGAUGUGGAGGAACACCGAUGGCGAAGGCAGCCCCCUGGGUCAAGAUUGACGCUCAUGCACGAAAGCGUGGGGAGCAAACAGG